GGUGACGCUGAUGGAAAAGAAGCUCGGUUAACUCACAGGACUGAACAUCACCGAUCACCCGUACGGCCGUUGAACUGCCGACCUACGCUCGCGUCGAACGAUCAACGCAACGGCCCUCGCCCGGAUGCCGGUCCGGAGCGAGGGCCUGACCAGUAUGGAAGGCGGCCUUCCUC
rnacentral:ncRNA from 1 species